GACAGAUUCACAAAUAACCUGCCUGAUUUAUCUCAACUGCUCUGUGUACCCAUAAAUACACAUGAACUAGAUAAAAUGACUGGAAACAUGGGCAUUAUCUUCUCUAAUACAUUAGAAGCUGUUGCCCCCAUCAAAUUGAAAAAGGUUAGAGAAAAACGUACUGUGCCAUGGUACAACAGUAAUACCCACGCUCUCAAGAAAGAAACUCGUAGUCUUGAGCGCAAAUGGAGAAAAACUAACUUGGAAGUUUUUAGAAUUGCGUGGAAAAACAGUAUGUCCAGCAGUAUGUCAAAAACUGCCAGAGCCGAGCAUAUCCACAAACUCAUAGAAAAUAACCAAAACAAGCCAAGGUUUUUAUUUAGCACAGUGGCUAAAUUAACAAAUAACCAGAUGCCACCUGAUUCAAAUAUUCCAUCAACGUUUAAUAGUAAUGACUUUAUGAAUUUCUUCACUGAUAAAAUAGAUAACAUCAGAAAUACAAUAACAAAUGUAGAUUCUACAGCGUCUAAUACUUUAGGUUUAUCUAUCGCACCCAAAGAUAAACUGCAGUGCUUUACAACUAUAGGACAGGAAGAGCUAAAUAAACUUAUCACUGCAUCUAAACCAACAACAUGUUUAUUAGAUCCUGUACCCACUAAAUUACUGAAAGAGUUGUUACCUGUACAGAAAAAAACGCUUCUCAAUAUUAUUAACUCGUCGUUAUCUUUACAUCACGUCCCAAAACCAUUCAAGCUGGUGGUUAUUAAGCCUCUUAUUAAGAAACCACAACUAGAUCCUAGUGAACUGGCAAAUUACAGACCCAUUUCAAUUCUUCCAUUUAUGUCUAAAAUGUUAUUAAAAAUCGUGUCUGCUCAAUUGUUCUCCUACCUUCAAAAAAAUGAUCUCUAUGAAGAAUUUCAGUCGGGUUUCAGGCCCCAUCAUAGCACAGAAACUGCACUUGUUAAAAUUACAAAUGACUUGCUUCUUGCAUCAGACCAAGGCUGCAUCUCAUUGCUAGUUUUACUUGAUCUUAGUGCUGCGUUCGACACCAUAGAUAAAGACAUACUCAGAUAGAUUACAAAACUAUACAGGUAUCCAAGGGCAGGUUUAAGAUGGUUUAGAUCCUACCUGUCCGAUCUCUACUACUUUGUUUAUUUAAAUGGGGAGUCAUCUCAUUUAUCACCAGUAAAAUAUGGAGUGCCACAAGGAUCUGUCCUAGGUCCUCUGAUAUUUUCAAUAUACAUGUUGCCCCUUGGUAAUAUCAUUAGAAAAUGCGGG
ensembl:lncRNA